CCUACGGGGGGCAGCAGUGGGGAAUAUUGCGCAAUGGGCGAAAGCCUGACGCAGCGACGCCGCGUGAGGGAUGAAGGUCUUCGGAUCGUAAACCUCUGUCAGCAGGGAAGAACGGUCACUGUGCUAAUCAGCAGUGAAUUGACGGUACCUGCAAAGGAAGCACCGGCUAACUCCGUGCCCGCAGCCGCGGUGAUACGGAGGGUGCGAGCGUUAAUCGGAAUUACUGGGCGUAAAGCGCUCGUAGGCGGUAUGUCAAGUCAAGGGUGAAAUCCCCGCGCUCAACGUGGGAACUGCCUUUGAAACUGGGAAACUGGAGUGUGUGAGAGGAUAGUGGAAUUCCAGGUGUAGGAGUGAAAUCCGUAGAUAUCUGGAGGAACAUCAGUGGCGAAGGCGACGAUCUGGCACAUAACUGACGCUGAGGAGCGAAAGCGUGGGUAUCAAACAGGAUUAGAUACCCUUGUAGUC
rnacentral:rRNA from 1 species